UUACAGCCAUAUCACCUUGACACACUGGUACUCGUACGAUAACCAAAGUUAAGCAACGUUGAGCCUGUUCAGUGUUUAGAUGUGUGAAAGCUUGGGAAUAUCAGAUGCUGUAAU